rnacentral:tRNA from 1 species
GGAGAGAUGUCCGAGCGGCUUAAGGUGAUAGUCUCGAAAACUAUUGUACCCAAAAGGUACCGGGGGUUCAAAUCCCCCUCUCUCCG